AACCACUCUUGUCCUUGUCCAGGGUCUGGAAGGCCUGGCGGAUGGCGCUGUCCAGCUGCCCUGAGGCCUGGAACUUCUGCAUGUACUCCAGGAACUUGAGGGAUGUGCCCAUAGCCAAGGCCAUCUUCUUCAUCUGAGAGGAGAAGUCCUCGUCCAUCCUGGCACUGCGGUGGACAGGAGCCAGCUCGCCAAAGCAGGACUGAGCUCUAAAACCUGGCUAAGACCCCCCAGAACCCCACCUGUCCCGGGCAUUGCUGUGCCCUGAAUGCCCUCCCAAGGCUGGCAGGGACGUCGCCCCACCCCAGACCACUGUGGACCGCCUGCAUAGCCCUCCUGGGGGCUGUGUUCUGCUUCUAGCAUCUGCCGGUGAGUCCCCAAGUUCAGAUGCUGAUAUGAGAAAAAAUGCUGCACGGGCUGGGGGGCUGGGGGGGGGGAGGUGACAGAGGCAGGGGCCCCAGCAGAUGGGGACUGGGUCCGAGGGGGUCCAGAGCUGACUUCGUGUGCCCGCCGGAGUCAGUGGGUCUGUUGGCCUUGGACCCCCUGCCCGAGCAGGCUCCCUGGCCCCCCAGUCAGCACCUGGGGCCCUGAGGUCAGUGAGCAGGUCUCAGCCUCCCCACCCUGCUCCCCAAAUCCUAGCACUCUCUCAGAGGCCCACAUAGGCACAUGCAUGCUCACGUGCCCACCCCUGCAGACCCAGGAGCACGCGGCUGCCUCUAAGACUGGGGCUCCCUUGGGGCUGCCCUUCCCCUUCUGCCUCCUUUUCCUGCCUCCCCUGGACCUCCCUGGGGUCUCCUCAGCCCCUUAGGCCUCCGCUUGUCCUGUGGAUGAGAAUGAGACCACAAGCUUUGGCCACACAGUGUGGGCAGCUCUGGCUGGGCCCAGAGUCCAUACCACCCCUCCCUGGGCAAGGCUCACCUCUGCCUGGUUUCGCUCGAGAGCUGUGGGGAGGCAGGUCAGGCUGGGGGUGCUGAUAGUCUGUGGGGGCUCCAGCUUUUAUACCUGCAGCCACUGGGCCUAUUUACAGCUUGGGCUGCACCUGUCCUCCCACCCCCUGCCCCUCCCGGGCACUCCAGCCUGGCACUGGCCUGCCUCCCCCAGGGGCUCACUGGCACUUGGCACAUCCACGCCGGGCCGGGCAGACUGACCGUCAGCAGCGCCCGGCCUCCCCAAGCCCAGGGUGGGGGUGGGGAGAGUGGCUAGCACCGGGGAGCAAGAGGAGUUUCUGUCUGUUGCAUUAGGGCCCACCCUGCCCACUGGCCUUACAGGGUGAGGUGGUGGGCCAGGAGAGGGCUGGCUGGGCCAGCCAGGGUCACCCAGGGUGUGCGGGCUGGCCAGCAUGUCUGAGAAGCCACCAGAAGCCCCUGGACAGGGACCGCAUCCAGUGAGCGGCCGGGUCGGGCAGCUGUCCUUUGUCCCCGGGUCGCUGUAGGGGGUCAGGGCUGGCCAUAAAGGUGAGGGGAGGAGGCCGGUCUGUCAGGCCAUGCUGCCUCCUGCAGUCUCGGGGAGCAGGGCUGUGUGACCCCAGGCAGGGCUGGCCUCUCUGGCUGAGGAGGCCUCUCGAAGGACAGUCGCCAGGUUGAGAACGGGGACACCAGAGACCGAUGUACCCGGAGAGCCCCUCCCAGCUCUGGCCUGCCUGGAGACCCCUCACGUCCACUGGUUUUCACAAAAGGUGCCAUGCCCCAAUACCAGGGCGGACCCUGGGGUGCAGCCUCUUCCCAGCCCUGCCCACCACUUUCUCUGUGCGGGUUUCCCUGGUCAUUCUGCACAGCGUGGACACGGCGCUGAGAUCUGCCUUCUUGGUGUGAGAGUCGCUCACGCAUCACCGGGAAAUUCAUAUAACAUUUUGUGCGCUACCUUGUGUCACAGCUUCAUAUGAGGCCGGCGAGCUGAGGACCUUCCAGAAACUUCCAAUGGCCACCUGCUGCUGGACCCCAAACAGAUUCCAGCAUUUUGCUCAUAGAGAUGCUAUUUCAAUGUGCAUCUCUGUCCAGGGGAGUGUCUCCUGCUCCUUGGCCGUGUUCACAAGAGUGGGAUGAUUGGGACCAACGGUGGAGGGUUCCACAUUCUUCCCCCGACGCUUUCCAACACACCCGUGCGCUCGGUGCUCCAGUGUGGGACGCACGCCUGCGCGUCCGUACGUACACCGAGGUCCCCAGCAGGCACACUGACUGCCACCCGACAUACGUGUCCCUACAGCGGAAGGCCACUCUGCACAAAAGGAAUGA